GUACAUUGUGACUCGCUUUAAAUAAUGUGUAAAUUGUAAUAACUGUUUGUAUUAUCUAUAAACUCGCUUUAAAGAUGGAUAGAUGCCUCAUGCCAACAAAUUUCACGUAGUAACAACUUUACAAAUCUGUGACAAAUUUCAAGAUUUAUUAAUAGAGUACAAAUAGGUAGACGAGUUAGAAAUCUUGUGUUAUUGAUUGGGCUUGGAAAAUCUAAUUAUUCAACAAUGGCUAUUCUACAUAGGGCCCUUUUUACUUGGUUUAUAUUUUUGAUUUUUCUUAUUUUGCUAUGUCUGAGAUUAGAGUCUAGAACACAUUGGAAUUGGUUCAUCGUUUUUAUUCCAAUGUGGGUGUACGAUAGUAUUUUAUUGAUCUACGUACUUUUUCAUAUGGUAUCACACUGCAGAAAUGGCAUUGAAAGAUUUAGAGGAACCAUUAAUAAAAAUGUGUGGUACAUAGCCGCAAUUGGACUGAAAAUGGCUGCACAAAUAAUAAUUUGUAUAAAAUUGGAAUAUAAUAGAGUUUAUUUACCUAUUUAUGUGGUAAUGACCCCUAUAUGGAUGCUACUGCCAGUUCUCUGUAUUGAAGUGUUCAUGCAUUUGAUCAAACACUCCAGUGGAAGUAGUAGGUAUUAAAAUGGUUCGAAGCAUACUUAAUAGGAAGCAAUAAAUACUGUGCAUUGAGGGGAAGGACAUGUGACUUCAUGACUGUGUAAAGAUAAUUAUAAACUUGGCACGCAUUCAGUAAUACCGAUGUUUGCUCUUCUCAAAUGUUUUGUGGCAGCAUCAGAAGUUUUGGUGAUAUAAUAAUCUUACUCAAGUGGUGAAAAACUCUAUUACGUAUGUUGGAAGAAGACUCAUUCGUCUAGAAAAUAAAUAAAACUAGAAACAAUGAAGAUGACAAUAGCUGAAGAAAGUUACUCAAGCAGAUUCUGGAACCUAUAUGUGCAUAUCAAAGAGUCUUGAUGGUUUACAAUAUGCAGUAAGUGAAGUGGAAAUACUAGUCUCUAGUGCAUUUACCCC